CCUACGGGAGGCAGCAGUGGGGAAUAUUGCACAAUGGGGGAAACCCUGAUGCAGCGACGCCGCGUGAAUGAAGAAGUAUUUCGGUAUGUAAACUUCUAUCAGCAGGGAAGAAAAUGACUGUACCUGACUAAGAAGCACAGGAUAACUACGUGCCAGCAGCCGCGGUAAUACGUAGGGGGCAAGCGUUCUCCGGCGUUACUGGGUGUCAAGGGAGAGUAGGCGGCGAUGAAAGUCAGAAGUGAAAGCCAGGGGCUCAACUCCGGGACUGCUUUGGAAACGGGGUUGUUGGAUUGCAGGAGAGGGAAGUGGAAGUCCUAGUGUAGCGGGGAAAUGCGUAGAUAUUAGGAGGAACACCAGUGGCGAAGGCGGCUUACUGGACUGUAAAUGACGCGGAGGCUCGAAAGCGUGGGGAGCAAACAGGAUUAGAGACCCGUGUAGUC
rnacentral:rRNA from 1 species